rnacentral:rRNA from 1 species
UACAGAGGGUGCAAGCGUUAAUCGGAGUUACUGGGCGUAAAGGGCGCGUAGGCGGAUAUUUAAGUGAGAUGUGAAAUCCCUGGGCUUAACCUAGGAACUGCAUCUCAUACUGGAUGUCUGGAGUACUGUAGAGGGUAGUGGAAUUUCCGGUGUAGCGGUGAAAUGCGUAGAUAUCGGGAGGAACACCAGUGGCGAAGGCGGCUGCCUGGGCCAGUUCUGACGCUGAGGCGCGAAAGCGUGGGGAGCAAACAGG